CCUACGGGUGGCAGCAGUGGGGAAUAUUGGACAAUGGGCGAAAGCCUGAUCCAGCCAUGCCGCGUGUGUGAAGAAGGCCUUCGGGUUGUAAAGCACUUUCAGUGGGGAAGAAAGCCUUGGGGCUAAUACCCACGAGGAAGGACAUCACCCACAGAAGAAGCACCGGCUAACUCCGUGCCAGCAGCCGCGGUAAUACGGAGGGUGCGAGCGUUAAUCGGAAUUACUGGGCGUAAAGCGCGCGUAGGCGGUCUGAUAAGCCGGUUGUGAAAGCCCCGGGCUCAACCUGGGAACGGCAUCCGGAACUGUCAGGCUAGAGUGCAGGAGAGGAAGGUAGAAUUCCCGGUGUAGCGGUGAAAUGCGUAGAGAUCGGGAGGAAUACCAGUGGCGAAGGCGGCCUUCUGGACUGACACUGACGCUGAGGUGCGAAAGCGUGGGUAGCAAACAGGAUUAGAUACCCGGGUAGUC
rnacentral:rRNA from 1 species